UGUUGAGACUGCAAGCACAUGCCAUGACUGGCACUUUCUGGUAGGUUCUGGAGCUCAAAUACAGGUCCUUGUGCUUGACCAGCAGACAUUCUACCCACUAAGCUACCUCUCCAGCCUGCUGACCGCUUUUGAAAGCCCCGUGGGUCAUAUCCCAUGAGGACUGACUAUCCACGUUUGAAUCUGAAAGCUGGCCUUGUCCCCACAAGCCUGGCGUGACCUAUGGCUGCUCUGGCCACCCACGAGGGUUGCAGCCUGGGCCGACAGAAGUCCAAAAGUCGAGAGGCCAGGCUUGACCCUGGGGAGGCCAGCUGGCUCCUGGGGAGGGACCUUCCCCAGACCGGAGGAAGUCAGCUCAGGCCUGGCCAGGCAGGCAAGCAGUCCAAGGGUAGACCCAAGUCCUGGAUUCCUCAGUGUCUGCAGCUGCUCCUGGGACCACCCCAGGAGACGCAGCUUCUGAGUCCCCCAGAGAUCCAGCAAAGAAGUUAGCGUGAAACUGUAAAACUCUGCAGACUCUGUACGGGGAGGCAUGGACCACUUACCUAGCAUGAAUGAGGCUUGGGACUCCAUCCCCAGUAACGGUAAAUAAAUAAGUGAACGUGUAGGUAAAUAAAUAAAUAAAACAUGCCAACUAGCUCACCCUCAGCAGAGGGCGGGAAAGCAUUUAAGCCUGGCUCCUGGCCCGACACCCACCCCCAAACCCUCUGCUGGGCAACCUUUGACCAUUCCCAUGAUCAUUUAGAACUUUGUUUCCUCUCACACUACAGAGGGACUUGACAGUGCGUGCCACCUAGGUUCUGAGCUCGAUGCUGUGGGCCACACAACCAGACAAACACUUUGAAACCCUCCAAGCAGAUGAGCUCAAAAGACCUCCAGCAACCAAGGCCUUCCCAAGCUUCAGUCCCCGGACCAUUGGUUUCCCCUCGGCUUCUCUGCUCCUGGGAAGUCCUUUCUCUUGCCUAACUUUGAGGCCUCUUGUUUCAUCCUGAACUCUGUUCCUCCUUGCAUCGCUUCUGCACACAGUUCUCUCCCAGGCCACCUCUUUUUCUACCGUCACGGUCCUGAUGCCUCUCUCUCUUAAGCUAAGGCCUCCUGCACAACCAACUCUAGCAUUUCUCCUUUGUUUAGGGAAUGCUUCGAAAACAAAAACAACAACAACAAUAGCAAUAAACAACAGGUCAAU
rnacentral:lncRNA from 1 species